AUGGCAGGGGAGGACGGUGGAAUUGUCCCAUGCAAUGCAAGAGUCCACGUCAAUGGCGUUACCGGGGACUACAUGCUUUUUGAAGCCUAUGGACGCAAGUACUCUGUUGACAUUGUGAAGGGGGCACACAGGACCAGGAUCAAAGGGAGUGGCUGGAAGAAAUUUACUUCUGACUUUUCACUUCGGAAGGGUGCUGUCGUUAUUUUUGACAUGGACAAGCGUCCCCGACAGGCAUAUGCUGUUGUUCACAUUGUUGACUCGGACACAGUUGAAGGAAGCACUUCAGACGGUGAUGCUAAAGAAGAGAUGAUAGAUGGAGACAUGUCAGAUGUGGAUGAAGACGGUGACAACAUAAAGAUCGAGUAUACAAGGGGUCUAACUCUGAAUGAUGCAUAG
rnacentral:rRNA from 1 species